UACGUAGGUGGCAAGCGUUGUCCGGAUUUACUGGGCGUAAAGAGCGCGCAGGCGGUCGUACAAGUCGCGUGUGAAAGCCCCCGGCUCAACUGGGGAGGGUCACGCGAUACUGUUCGACUCGAAGGCAGGAGAGGGAAGCAGAAUUCCCGGUGUAGUGGUGAAAUGCGUAGAUAUCGGGAGGAAUACCAGUGGCGAAGGCGGCUUCCUGGCCUGUUCUUGACGCUGAGGCGCGAAAGCCAGGGGAGCGAACGGG
rnacentral:rRNA from 1 species